GAUAAGUUGGCGGAGUGGUCUAUCGCGACAGCUUGCUAUGUUGUUACCUUUGGGUGCAUGUGUUCGAAUCACAUACUUAUCU
rnacentral:tRNA from 1 species